CUUAACUGCAUAAUAAAAGAGAAAAUAAUAACCAAUAUUUAUUAAAUUAGGUGCCUUUUAUGUGCCAGACACUGUGCUCAAUUAUUGGCACACUGUGUUGGACACAUCUUCUGUGUCAUAUUGGGUUCUCUUAGUGCUAAUCCCUUCUGGACCUCAAAAUGCUGGUAGCAUUUUAGACCUCAGUAGCUCUAAGUGUCAUUUCAAAAUUUCAUAAUCCCCUUAAUGAUUACCAACAGUUGAGCACCUACUGUUUACCUGGAAUAAUGAUGGUCAUUUCACAUAAAGCUUCAACUCCUUGAGACAUCAUGAGGAACUGUUAUUAUCCUAUUUCAUAAAGAAGGAAACUAAGACUCAGAGUAGCUAAGUAAUUUGUCCAAGGGCUUAUAGCUUUGGGAUUUGAACUCAAUUCUGUCUGAUUCUGGAACACAUGCUAAUUGUCAAAUUCGUAGUCACAAAAAACGGGUCACAGGUACACUCUGGAACAAGCGCUAUAGGGUACCUGUGACCCAUUUUCUGUGACUAAGAAUUUGACACCUUGUAGUAUUUGAAGCAUCUCUCAUGAAGCUUGCCUCUUCACCUUGUCAUGGUGCAGAAAUAAAGUAACUGGCCAAUUAAUUAAUAAAGGUAGAAUUCAGCAUAAGAAGUUUUACUUCAUUUAGACAACC
rnacentral:lncRNA from 10 species